UUCAAGUUCAUCGUUUCUUUCUCUCUUCUUCGUUGGAACCGAAACGACCAGUUUACCGAAACAAUAAAAAAAUUCAAUUGAUCUUCUACAAAGAUUUUGUUUCUCAAGACAUGCAUGAUCUUUGCUAUUUGAUCGGAGGAAAAGUAAGUUAUAAUUUUUAACCUAACUCUUAUAGCUAAUCUGAUCUCUUAUAGUUUAUAAAUCGUGUAAAGAAUUGGUUUGGUUAAUAAGUUUGUUGAUCUAGAUAUGCAAACCUUGUAGAUCACACAGUAAUUUGAGAGAUCAAGUCAAGGAAACAGAUACUAUUCAGGUUGAAAGUAGCGGAUGCAAAAUCAGUGGCCGAUUUGAAACGAAAUACGUGGUUCGUCAUGUCAAUCGAGCAACAGAAAAGAUAAGUUUCAUAAUUUUCUUUGAGUGUUUGUUUAUUCAUAAUAUCUAAUCUAAUAAAUCGAGCUUGUUACAAACAUUGGCAGAUUGAAAUAUAUUGGAUACAAAAAGCUAAGCUCAGCUGCGUUGAGAUAACACACACACACACUGCACGUAUCUGAAGGCUUUGUUCCAGACUAUAUUGGCAAAUCUUAAUGUGGAUAGAAUAUUCUGGAUAUCGAUUGUAUGUAGAUAAUUAUUAGAUAUUAAACGAAUUGAAAUUA
rnacentral:lncRNA from 1 species